rnacentral:rRNA from 1 species
UACGUAGGGUGCGAGCGUUUGUCCGGAAUUAUUGGGCGUAAAGAGCUCGUAGGCGGUCUGUCGCGUCGAAAUGUGAAAACCCGGGGCUCAACUCCGGGCUUGCAUUCGAUACGGGCAGGCUAGAGUUCGGUAGGGGAGUCUGGAAUUCCUGGUGUAGCGGUGAAAUGCGCAGAUAUCAGGAGGAACACCGGUGGCGAAGGCGGGACUCUGGGCCGAUACUGACGCUGAGGACGAAAGCGUGGGGAGCAACAGGAUUAGAACCGUACCGUCGAGAUCCA